AGCCUCGUAGUGAAGAACACGUCAGAUUGCAAAUCUGGAGACGUAGAUUAAUACUCUGCCGGGGCUU
rnacentral:tRNA from 1 species